CUUUGGGUCUGAUGGGGGGGCCUCCUGUCUCCAAGAUGGGGACAUUGUGGGGCUGAGGCUGGGGAGGGGCUGGGCAGGGCUGAGGUCUGGGGGCCUCUCCUGCAGGAGGAAAGGAGUCAGGGAGCUGUGGCUGGGGUCCUGAGUCCCCAGGGAGCAGAGGGGAGGCUGGGGGCUCAGAGCCGCCCCUGAGAACAUCCAUCCCCUCCCAGAUCUGGGGCCCAGGACAGGAGAUGUGAGGGGCGAGCUGCUCACACGUCGGCCUCGUGCCCCAGUGUGAGUGCUCGGCUGGGGCUCACGAGAGCUCAGUCGGGGCUCGGGGGCUGGUCGUGUUCGCAAUCCCGAGAAAGUGUCACCGGGGGAAUGAGGCUGACACGCGGUGCGGAACAAAGGCAGCCCUUCGGGGCUGAGCUGCAGGCUCAGUGCCAUCUCCUCCAUCCUGGGUACCUGACUGGACCAGUACUCAGAGGACUUCUGUCAGCCACCGGACUUCCCCUGCCUCAAGCAGCUGGUGGCCUACGUGCAGCUCAACAUGCCUGGCUCUGACCUGGAGCGCCGCUCCCAGCUUCUCCUGGCCCAGCUGGAGCAUGCUGAACUCACCGAGACAGAGCCGCAGGCUCUUUCUCCAGCUCUCC